AUUGAACGCUGGCGGCAGGCCUAACACAUGCAAGUCGAACGAGUGGCGGACGGGUGAGUAAUGUCUGGGAAACUGCCCGAUGGAGGGGGAUAACUACUGGAAACGGUAGCUAAUACCGCAUACCAUCGGAUGUGCCCAGCUGGGAUUAGCUAGUGGGUGGGGUAACGGCUCACCUAGGCGACGAUCCCUAGCUGGUCUGAGAGGAUGACCAGCCACACUGGAACUGAGACACGGUCCAGACUCCUACGGGAGGCAGCAGUGGGGAAUAUUGCACAAUGGGCGAAAGCCUGAUGCAGCAAUGCCGCGUGUAUGAAGAAGGCCUUCGGGUUGUAAAGUACUUUCAUCGGGGAGGCGUUACUCGCAGAAGAAGCACCGGCUAACUCCGUGCCAGCAGCCGCGGUAAUUC
rnacentral:rRNA from 1 species